UUCAUUUCGCCCUAGACUAGCAUUUUCCGCCAUUUCAUUUCGCCCUAGACUUGCAUUUUUCGUCAUCCGCUAUUUCUUUGCGAUUCUACAGUCCGACAGCCAUUCCACCGGCUUCUUCGCCGUCAACGACAGCCGUUCCGCUGCCUUUCCUCUGCAGACGACGACAGCCGAUAGCCGACCUUCCUCACUCCGACAGAAGACGACGACCUUCCUCAUUUCCGAGACCAGAACUGACAGACGACGACAGCCAUUCCCGCCGCCGCUCUUCCUCCGCCGACGAAGACACCGACAGCCAUCGCCUCAGUCUCAACCACAGUCGCCGCCGCCUUUCCUUCGCCGGAGAUGCCUCACUCGCCACCGCCACCGCCACCGACCACCCCGUAGCUGCCGAUUCCCAAAACAAUGGAAAUGAAGAGGGAAAGACGCAACGGAGUGUUGGGAUUCCAGACACCGAAGAACACUCCAACUUGGGGGUCUGGAGUUGCAUCCCUUUGCUUAGUUGUGUUUACUUAGUCUAGCAUUGAAGUACCAGGAAUAGAAGAUGAAAGUAAUUUGUCAAUGUUGCGUGCAACUCCUAUGCUGUCCUCAUGUAUGGAUCCCCUCCAAUAUAAAGAGAAAUAGGAGCAAUGAUGUCAUCAUGUAUGCAUCUCUCUCAUGUAUGCUGGAAGGAACUGUUGUAAAUGUACCUGAUAAUAGAGCACGGAAACAUUCUCGUGGUGACAGUAUUCAGGUUUACACUUGAUCAACUUCAUUGAAGGAGGUUGUGGAUGCUGCAUUGAUCAAGGCCAUUGAAGCAGUGCCGGAUUUGAAGGCUUAUUUCGGUGCAACGAGCAUACUUAUGUAGUAUCAAAUAAGUAUAUUUUCAUACUUAAGUAGUACGGAGUAUCAAUCAAGUAGUAUAUAUUUUUUAUGUUUUUUUUUAUGAA